ACUAGAGGGAGGAAUGGUUUCUCCGACGACAAGGCACACGUGUCGGAGACCCAUAUGGUCGAUGAUUUAAGAUGGCUAAAACCCUCUACGACCACUUUGAAAGUUAGAGACAGAGAUUCUAGGUCAGAGCUAGAAGCUCUUUCAACCCUAAGUUGGAUUGAAUGAGUCAAGUCUCCUGCGAGCUGAAACACUGCGUGUGUGUCAGACUCGGCAAAGUCGUGGGACUCCGGAAGCUCGCAUAUCCACGACCAAGGAUCCAUUUUCUUGAACUUGUUUUUUUCUCUCGGGACAAUGUGUGUGUUUGUUAGAUGGGGUAAAGUGGGAGAUAAAAUUUCUUUAGUGAGUAGCGGAAGUGACGAACUAUAUAGAGAGAGUAUGUGGUGGAGGAGAAACUAAUCAAAAACCCCUCAGAGGAGCAGACACGGAUGAAUAGUAUAUCUGUGGCGCUACAAUAGCCUCAUUAAUGAGAUAGUCUUGUUUUCUUGUUUGGAUAUUUGGCUAAUAAAGAACCACGACCACUUCUUUUUGCAUGGAGGAAGGUUAAGGAAGGGACGUGGAGUUUUAACGUUUUCUCGCUUGUGGCAUAGCUACGUGUUGCAUGAACUAGAGCGAAUACGUACAUUCUUUUUUGAUCACAGAAAAUAGGGAUGGAUGAUAUAUAUAUUUUUAAAAUAUAUUUGAUUGGAAACAACACCGUUAACAAUUUUCAUUGAUAAACAUAUCGAAUUCCUAUUUUUUGUUUCGUUGAAACAUAUUGAUUACCUUACAAAGAUUCGAAAUGGUAACUACCAAACGCACAUUUUGUCAAAAACAAAAACUACCAAAACAUGCAAGUAGUAUGAAAUUAUAACGCUCCGACCGCCCACAUGGGCCAUCCACGCCCGCUCACUCGGUCUGUGGACUCCAUCCUGUUCCAACGGUCGGUGCAUUAAUUUUUCAAAGUCCGAAAGUCUUGUUUACUGACUAUGCAAUCACCACAUGAUUUUUCCCCGUGCUUUGGUCUCAUUCGCAAGGUAUCACGAAUCAUUUCCCGAUAGGUCAUCCAUCCUUUCACUAUUCCAGUCCAAACACACUUAACUCUGAAGUUCUAAACGGAUGUGUGACCUUGAAGGAGCAGGAGAACUAGAGGGAGGAAUGGUUUCUCCGACGACAAGGCACACGUGUCGGAGACCCAUAUGGUCGAUGAUUUAAGAUGGCUAAAACCCUCUACGACCACUUUGAAAGUUAGAGACAGAGAUUCUAGGUCAGAGCUAGAAGCUCUUUCAACCCUAAGUUGGAUUGAAUGAGUCAAGUCUCCUGCGAGCUGAAACACUGCGUGUGUGUCAGACUCGGCAAAGUCGUGGGACUCCGGAAGCUCGCAUAUCCACG
rnacentral:lncRNA from 1 species